rnacentral:rRNA from 1 species
AGCAGUAGCCGCGGUAAUACAGAGGGUGCGAGCGUUAAUCGGAUUUACUGGGCGUAAAGCGUGCGUAGGCGGCUUUUUAAGUCAGAUGUGAAAUCCCUGAGCUUAACUUAGGAAUUGCAUUCGAUACUGGGAAGCUAGAGUAUGGGAGAGGAUGGUAGAAUUCCAGGUGUAGCGGUGAAAUGCGUAGAGAUCUGGAGGAAUACCGAUGGCGAAGGCAGCCAUCUGGCCUAAUACUGACGCUGAGGUACGAAAGCAUGGGGAGCAAACAGGAUUAGAGACCCCGGUAGUCCCUGUCUCUUAUAC